AUUGAACGCUGGCGGCAUGCCUUACACAUGCAAGUCGAACGGCAGCACGGGAGUAAUCCUGGUGGCGAGUGGCGAACGGGUGAGUAAUACAUCGGAACGUGCCCAGUAGUGGGGAUAGCCCGGCGAAAGCCGGAUUAAUACCGCAUACGACCUACGGGUGAAAGCGGGGGAUCGCAAGACCUCGCGCUAUCGGAGCGGCCGAUGUCAGAUUAGGUUGUUGGUGGGGUAAAGGCCACCAAGCCGACGAUCUGUAGCUGGUCUGAGAGGACGACCAGCCACACUGGGACUGAGACACGGCCCAGACUCCUACGGGAGGCAGCAGUGGGGAAUUUUGGACAAUGGGGCAACCCUGAUCCAGCCAUGCCGCGUGCGGGAAGAAGGCCUU
rnacentral:rRNA from 1 species